AAGGAGACGGGUCUCCAAUCCAAGCUACGCUAUCAACUCGCUGCAGGCCCCACAGGCCGCGCCGAGCCCACCACGCGGCGGGGCGACGCCUUCCGCUCGGGCCGCUGCCCUCCUCCGUCGCUCUUCAGUCAGCGCAGCUCAGAGGGCGGAUCUACCCGCCCGCCCCGCGGUCGUCCCCGCGCUUUGUGCCCGUCAGGAGAAGCGGAGCCGCCCACCCGCCGCGCUGAGGCGGUUCUGAGGCGGUGCCUUUCCCGCCCAACGGCCGAGCGCGCGCAGCGCCGCCUCUUCAACGGCCGCCGCGCGUGCCCCGGCCGCGGCCAUGGCUGAGGAAGGAGCCGCCAAGCUGCGCCUCAAACCCAGGAAGGCGCCGCCGGCCUGCAGCCGGGAGCCCAGCCCCGGCCUGGAGCGCGCCCGGCGGUGCCAGGCUCUGGCUGACAGAAGUUCCUGGUUUGAAAAAGAUGACUUAAACGAGUGUGAAAAAACAUGGAGUUUGCUCCUGAUGAACAUCAGUCAAGAUUUACAAUGCACGAGUUGGCAAACGGUGCCCAGUUUUCCAGAGUUCUUCGGAAAGAUGAUUCUCAGCUCUUUAGUCUCUACCUACAUUGCAAUGAACAUAAGGACUACUUGUGUUGUCCUGCAAAGGGGAUCUCUCUACCAGCAUCUCCCUAAAGAAAUGGAAUUGGAAAAUGCAAAGGCAGGUCAGUAUUUCCUGUGGGAAGUACAAGAAGAAUACCCUAUUUGUGUUCAAUCAGUGGGAAUUACUCAGAAAUGUUAAGACACACUGCAUAAAUUCUAAGAAGUUGUUAACUGGUUUGCAAGCGCUGGAAAUAGAUGUAAAUAAGAUGCUCAUAGCUUCUAUAUAGUUUAGAUUUCUCAGUCCUUGUAGUAUGUCCAGCUUUCAGUGUAUGGAUUUGUUCUGAAGACACUGUGUGUAUGUCACAGAGCUCUGAGGAUGAGAGGCUGCAAGAACAAGAAGUCUUUAAAAUUGGAAUGAAAGACUUUCACUGGAUAUCAUUCCCAUCCUUUCACAAAGAACAGAAUUCUAAACCAGAAGAUUUUAGCUCCCCUCAGCUAAUAGAAACACAAGUAUGGGACCAAGCAGAUGAACUGGAAAGUUUACCUUCUACAUCUGAGAAAGUGUGCUGUAAAAUUAAUACAGAUCCCAAGAACACGGCUGGGGAAGACACAGGAGGUAUUUCCAAAGUAGAUGUAAAUCUCAAACCGUGUGAUGUCAGUCAGCAUAAAACUUCCACAUGCCACUUGGCAUUGUCACAAGGAACUGCAAAAGCUCUAAGUGUUCAACAGCAUUGCAGAGGGGCUGUGCAGAACAGCAAGGAAAACAGAAAGCAAGAGAAGAGAGAGCUUCAAGCACAAAUACAUCGAGGCAGCAUUUCAUUUGGUGAGACCAGACGUGUGCCUGCAGCAGGGAAUCCUCCUCUGGUGAGCAUGGCUGGAAAUGAGAGCUGCAGGGAGAGUUCUGUACAGAGUGAAGGAUCUUCAACUCUUGACAGUUGCCCCAUGUGUCUGAUUCGUUUCAGUGGAACGCUGUCACAGUUGGAUAUCGAUGGCCAUCUUGCUAGAUGCUUAUCUGAAAGCGCAGAUGAUAUAAUGUGGUAAAUCCAGAAUAAUGAAGAGCAAAGGGACAAAGCUGAGUAUGAACCUUCCUCAAAGGAAAAGGAAAAAUGUGUCAAGGAAACACGUCCUUGUCUCAAACUUCCUGAAAUAUCAUAGAUCAGGAACUGAAAGGGAAGGUCAAGUGCCACCUGCCUGUUGCCUGGAAUCUUUUUAUUUGAAAUCCUCUCAUAUGUAACCAAAACAGCUGAAACAGGCACAUACAACUGCCUUCCCACACCGUGAAAAAGAGCACAGCAAAGCAGUAUCUGAAGUUUUCUGUCUCAGCAAACCUUUCUUCUGGACCUCAAGAGCCUGCAGUUCAGGUGUGAGCCAAGUACAUAGAAUAAACAGACUACAGGAUUGGAGUACAGGCAUCAUUCUGUAGGUUUAAUUUACAAUAAGGUCGCUUUAAAAAGUGCAAGUUGGACAUAGCUCAGUUUACUGAUAAAUAAUAACAAUUAACUUUUUCAUUAAAGUCUUUAAUAGAUGUGCAAGAAUAUAAAUGAUCUUAGCUGUUAUGGAUUAGUAUACCAUCUUCUGCACAAAUAAAACUGGUCAAAGAUCCCAACUAAUUAAUUAUACAAAA